UACAAAGUAUCAACAUAUAAGCUGCGUCGAAUAGAAAUCGACCUUAUGCAAAUCAACACCAAUACAUCUUUUAACCAAUUUCAGUUUUAAAAAAAAAUCAACAGAAAGUAUGGGAUUUUUUGUAAGUUGCAUUAUUAAUUUAAUGCUAUAAAACAGACCAAACUUCAUCUUUCUCUCAUAGUAUUUUGUAUUUGAACGUUCAAAAAAUCAAUCAGAGUCUAAUACAUGUACAUAUUUACGUACACUUGCAUAAGGUCGAUUUCUAUCCGACGCAGCUCAUAUGAUG
rnacentral:lncRNA from 1 species